rnacentral:rRNA from 1 species
GAUGAACGCUGGCGGCGUGCCUAAUACAUGCAAGUCGAGCGAACAGACGAGGAGCUUGCUCCUCUGACGUUAGCGGCGCACGGGUGAGUAACACGUGUAUAACCUACCUAUAAGUCUGGGAUAACUUCGGGAAACCGGAGCUAAUACCGGAUAAUAUAUUGCACCGCAUGGGUCAAUAGUGAAAGACGGUUUUGCUGUCACUUAUAGCUGGAUCGGCGCCGCAUUAGCUAGUUGGUAAGGUAACGGCUUACCAAGGCAACGAUGCGUAGCCGAACUGAGAGGGGGAUCGGCCACACGGGAACGUAGACACGGUCCAGACUCCUACGAGAGGCAGCAGUAGGGAAUCUGCCGCAAUGGGCGAAAGCCUGACGGAGCAACGCCGCGUGAGUGAUGAAGGUCUUCGGAUCGUAAAACUCUGUUAUUAGGGAAGAACAAAUGUGUAAGUAACUAUGCACGUCUUGACGGUACCGAAUCAGAAAGCAACGGCUAACUACGUG